UACGGGGGGGGCAAGCGUUGUUCGGAAUUACUGGGCGUAAAGGGCUCGUAGGCGGCCAACUAAGUCGGAUGUGAAAUCCCCAGGCUUAACCGGGGAACUGCGUCUGAUACUGGAUGGCUUGAGUUUGGGAGAGGGAUGCGGAAUUCCAGGUGUAGCGGUGAAAUGCGUAGAUAUCGGGAAGAACACCCGUGGCGAAGGCGGCUCUCUGGAACGCAACUGACGCUGAGACGCGAAAGCGUGGGGAGCAAACAGG
rnacentral:rRNA from 1 species